rnacentral:tRNA from 1 species
GGGCUUGUGGUCUAGUGGUAUGACGUUUCCCUCACACGGAAAAGGUCGCCGGUUCGAUUCCGGCCAAGCCCA